GCUUGUCUCAAAGAUUAAGCCAUGCAUGUCUAAGUGUAAAUAAGUCUAUACUGUGAAACUGCGAAUGGCUCAUUAAAUCAGUUAUCGUUUAUUUGAUGAUCUCUUACUACUUGGAUAACCGUAGUAAUUCUAGAGCUAAUACAUGCUGAAAAUCCCGACUUCGGAAGGGAUGUAUUUAUUAGAUUAAAAACCAAUGCCCCUCGGGGCUCUCUGGUGAAUCAUGAUAACUAGUCGAAUCGACAGGCCUUGUGCCGGCGAUGGCUCAUUCAAAUUUCUUCCCUAUCAACUUUCGAUGUUUGGGUAUUGGCCAAACAUGGUGGCAACGGGUAACGGAGGGUUAGGGCUCGACCCCGGAGAAGGAGCCUGAGAAACGGCUACUACAUCCAAGGAAGGCAGCAGG
rnacentral:rRNA from 1 species